rnacentral:rRNA from 1 species
CCCUUAGAUGUUCUGGGCUGCACGCGCGCUACACUGAUGCGUUCAACGAGUGUAUCACCUUGCCCGAUAGGGUUGGGUAAUCUUUUGAACACGCAUCGUGAUGGGGAUAGAUUAUUGCAAUUAUUAAUCUUCAACGAGGAAUUCCUAGUAAUGAUGAAUCAUCAGUUCAUCGUGAUUACGUCCCUGCCCUUUGUACACACCGCCCGUCGCUCCUACCGAUUGAGUGGUCCGGUGAGGCUUUGGGAUCUGAGCAGAAAGAGCGUUUCGCUGUUUCUGCUCGGAAAACUCAGUCGAACCUUAUCAUUUAGAGGAAGGAGAAGUCGUAACA